rnacentral:rRNA from 1 species
UUAUAUGAGAGUUUGAUCCUGGCUCAGGACGAACGCUGGCGGCGUGCCUAAUACAUGCAAGUCGAACGCACGAAGUUGAAGAGCUUGCUCUUUAACCAAGUGAGUGGCGGACGGGUGAGUAACACGUGGGUAACCUGCCCAUUAGAGGGGGAUAACAUUCGGAAACGGAUGCUAAUACCGCAUAGUUUCAGGGAUCGCAUGAUUCUUGAAGGAAAGGUGGCUCCGGCUACCACUAAUGGAUGGACCCGCGGCGUAUUAGCUAGUUGGUGAGGUAAUGGCUCACCAAGGCAAUGAUACGUAGCCGACCUGAGAGGGUGAUCGGCCACACUGGGACUGAGACACGGCCCAGACUCCUACGGGAGGCAGCAGUAGGGAAUCUUCCGCAAUGGACGAAAGUCUGACGGAGCAACGCCGCGUGAGUGAAGAAGGUUU